CGGAGUUGUAUAGUGCCACCCCUGUCGACUCCACCGGCAGCGGGAUCCAGGUCCAACUCCAGGAUAUUUGAUUCAGUAAUCAGCUUCAGUUCCAAGUUUCAGUGCUUCAGAAAUAUUGGUUUUGGUAAUCAGCUUGCCGAGAUGGUACCUGGACAUAAUUUACUUGCGUGCUAUAGCGUGUAGAAAAUUGUCUAGUUAAAUUGAUCAGUGUACAAUCUCUCGCUAAUAGCAUAUUUUCAGAGGCCACGCUAUUUUGUAUAGCACGCUAUUCAUUAGAUAUGUCUACUCCUGUAUUUUCAGUUACCUGUGUGACUGAAAAAAUACACUAUAUGUUACUAUGAUAUAUUUCUUAAGUUAUGUAUAGAACCUCUGCCUAUAUACUUGGAUCACCGGAUUGUUAUGCAUCAAAACUACAGAAUUACUACUUACCAUUGUAGUGUCGUGUUCUGUGUAUACCAAUAUCUCUACCACUAUAAUACACCAUUCUUGAAUUUGGAUUCACCACCUACUUGCUUUUUAGUCUGCUCGAGGUCGGCCAUGGUGGUCCGGCCCGACCAAUGGAUGGAUGGGGAUGAAACCCUAGCCCAACACCCACACAUGGAUGGAUGGGAUGGGGCGACGACGACGGCGGCAGCGGCCUUCUCUCGGUGCUUGCUGAUGUGGUGGCCAUCGACACCGGCAACGAGUUGCAGCACGUAGACAUCAAAGGCUGCGGGUGUGACGGAGGAGCACCAUGGCGGGCGUGCAGGCCAUGGCUCUCUAUGUAAGG